CGCCUGAUACUUGCUUUAACCUGAGUAUUUGACAAGGUGAGCAAAGUUUCAGGUGUGU
rnacentral:pre_miRNA from 1 species